rnacentral:lncRNA from 1 species
CAUGGGUUCUUUUGUUCCAAAUUGAAAUCUAUCUUGUACCUUCAAUCUUGUCGUCUAAGCCCUGCCAAUGGCUUACUUGGCCCUCCUAACAUUUUUUUUUUUUUAAGCAAACAGUUUGGACUUGUAACUGAAAAUGGCCAUUUUUCCUAUGGACCAGAUUUCCGCUGUUUACUUAAUCCAGAGGCACAGUGGUUCUCCUUAUCUCCAUCCCUCCAGGCCGGUGACAGGAGACCCCAGGCAGUGUGCGAACCCGUCAGAAAUGACACAGGUGCUGAGAGCAACCCCUGCUCAGGAACCUGCACAGGUCGUUUUAGGACAAAAGCGUCCUCCCAGACGCACGGAGGCAAAAGGG